AAUAAUCAAACAUAUAGAUAGCGCAAAAACUAAAGAACGAAAUUAACAAACUAACUAACGGACGAACUAACUAACUAACUAACUAACUAGCGAGCGAACGAGCGAACGAACUAACUAGCGAACUAACGAACGAACGAACGAACAAUGGAUUAUAGAAACUUGAUUUUUAUUUUACUGUUUUUUUUCGUUAUAUUUUGUUCCCGCAGUGAAAGUAACCAAUUAUUUGAAAAUGUAACUAGCAAAGGAAAUUUAGAGUUAAUAAUAUUAUUUGAUAUAGGUAUUAAAGAUAUUAAUAAAAAGUUUUCAAGUGAUGGGCUUAGGAAUAUAGUUGAAACGAGUAAAAAAUUAUUAGUGCAUGAUAAGAAAAAUAUUAAACUAACGUAUAUUACAUACAAUAGUAACGAAGUGAAUACUAAGAUUGAGAUUGAUAAUUCAAGUUGUACCGAAUCUUAUAAUGAAAAAGAUAACAAAAAUAACGAUGUUGUUUUUAAAAAUUUUUCAAAAAUAGUAAAUAAUACUAAUUUAGAAAAGCAAAAUGACAAUUCAGCACAUUUGAAAGCUUUAAAUUAUGUUGCUAUGAGAUAUUUUAACGAUGAUUUAGAAUCAAGUAGUAGGUUAGUUGUUAUGUUUAUGAACACGGAUGGUGUUGCAGACGUAAAUAGGGUAGAUAUAGAUAUUAUAAAUCAUAUAUUUGAUUUAAAAAAAGUUACUUUAAAUAUUAUAACACAUCUUAAUUUUGUAACUUAUUGUCAAUAUUUACAUGAUGUAGGGCCAAAUACAAAUGAAUUAUAUAGAUGUAUCGGUAGACAGUCAUAUUAUAGUGACCAUGUUUUGUCUUAUUAUUUAUUCCGUUUUUAUGAUGAUAUAGCUGAUAAUGCUACAUGUCCUGAGUUUGGUCUAUUUUCAGAAUGUUCAGAAGAAUGUGAUGUAGGUUAUCAUACAUCCAAAAUGUUGUCAUUAGUUCCUAUAAAACCAGCAACUGGAGGGGUAUAUAAUAGGAUAGGUAAAAGUUGUUUUGAACAAAAAAAUGUAAUAACACAUGAAUGUUUUCAUAGAAGUUGUGACCAUUCGUUAGACGUAUGUGAUAUUCCGUUAGACAUAACACUGGUAAUAGAUGAAAAUUCGACAAUGUCACAAGAAGCGUGGUUAAAUAAUAUAAUUAAACCUAUACGUACUAUAAUCACUCAUUUAAAUGUUAGUAAAAAUCUGAUAAAUAUUGUAAUAACUACUUUUUCUUCUAAAAUAUACAAACUGUAUAAUUUUGAUGAUUUAAUAGCAAUAAAUAGAGAUAAAAUAUUAGAUUUAUUAGAUGGUCUAAGAUUUAAUUUAGGAAAUAGUACUAAAAAUGUAAAUAACGCUUUGUAUUAUGUAUAUAAAUAUAUACUUAAUAGUAAUGUACGAAGACCAAAUGCCAAUAAAGUGGUACUUGUUGUUACUUC
rnacentral:lncRNA from 1 species